GUGCACCAGGCGCGAAAACUCCGCAAUGCGCGAAAGCGUGACGGGGUCACCCCGAGUGCCGUCCGCUGAGGAUGGCUUUUGCCUGGUCUAACCAGCCGGGUGAAUAAGGGGAGGGCAAGUCUGGUGUCAGCCGCCGCGGUAAUACCAGCUCCCCGAGUGGUUGGGACGAUUAUUGGGUCUGAAGCGUCCGUAGCCGGCCGGAAAAGUUCCCCGUUAAAUCUGGCGAUCCAAUCGUUGGGCUGCGGGGAAUACUCUUCGGCUUGGGGGCGAGGGAGGUCGGCGGUAGUCCCGGGGUAGGGGUAAAAUCCUCUGAUCCCGGGAGGACCACCAGUGGCGAAGGCGGAGCGCCAGAACACGCCCGACGGUGAGGGGCGAAAGCUGGGGGAGCAAACGGGAUUAGAUACCCCCGUAGUCC
rnacentral:rRNA from 1 species